GACGAACGCUGGCGGCGUGCUUAACACAUGCAAGUCGAACGGAAAGGCCCUGCUUUUGUGGGGUGCUCGAGUGGCGAACGGGUGAGUAACACGUGAGUAACCUGCCCUUGACUUUGGGAUAACUUCAGGAAACUGGGGCUAAUACCGGAUAGGGGCUCCUGCUGCAUGGUGGGGGUCGGAAAGUUUCGGCGGUUGGGGAUGGACUCGCGGCUUAUCAGCUUGUUGGUGGGGUAGUGGCUUACCAAGGCUUUGACGGGUAGCCGGCCUGAGAGGGUGACCGGCCACAUUGGGACUGAGAUACGGCCCAGACUCCUACGGGAGGCAGCAGUGGGGAAUAUUGCACAAUGGGCGGAAGCCUGAUGCAGCAACGCCGCGUGCGGGAUGACGGCCUUCGGGUUGUAAACCGCUUUCGCCUGUGACGAAGCGUGAGUGACGGUAAUGGGUAAAGAAGCACCGGCUAACUACGUG
rnacentral:rRNA from 1 species